UUAUUAUUAUUAUUAUUAUUAAAUCAAAUCUAAAUCUUGGUCUUUGGAUCCCAAUCUCAAUAACACUCUAACCCAUGAUUAUCUCCUUUGAUAUUGGAUAGAGUGAGCUUGCCUCUCUGGAAGUGAUAGUUUCAUCUUCUCUUUUUUAGAGUCUUCGCCUCAGAGUUCCCUCCUCUUCCUACAGUAGAAGGAUGGAUCUCCCUUUCUUUUUCAAUUGAUUCAUGUAUAACGUUGUUUAGUUUUGCUUUUUGUCGAUCUGUUAGCGUUGUGCUUCAAUAUAAGAGUUUCUAUGCAAAUCGACAAGUGAUGGUUUUGUUUUACGACACUAUCGAGCUUUUGUCAGUUUGGCGAUUCGGCGGUGCUUGUGGGCUUGUUGGGCCAUCGUCCAUCGGGGCUAGAGGAGCUUGAGAUGUCCAUGUCUCCACCAUACUUUUCUCGAUUCAUCUAGCACUAAUCUUAACCCUUUGGCGUUUUUGCAUUUACUUCUCAACUUCCCUGUUUUGAUUAUGUUUUGGUCUGAAGAACUUGUUGCUUCUGGGUGGGGAGUAUGACUUCAAUUGUAGUGUUUCCCAUAUGACCUUCAUUUCCACUGUUGCAACUUCACUUAGGCAAAUUCAGUUCGCCUUCAACUAGGUCUCUACUAGUAGAAAGAGUUGUUCAUGGUGAUUGCUGAAGGAGAUGAUUUCGACUUAACCCUCUUAGUCCUAAGACUCCAUGUUUGUUUGGACUUUGACACCUUCAUUGUUUAAACUUGGGUGAGAGCUUUAUAAAUUAUAUUUAUUGUUCUUGAGGGCCUUGCAGUCCUUAUCAUCAUCUAAUCAUUUAAUGCAAAAUUUCUAUUUUCUCAUCAAUUGAA
rnacentral:misc_RNA from 1 species